AGAAUCAUCCAAAACCGCAUCCUGCUCGUCAUCCUGGGGAUCAUCGUGGUCAUCACCAUCCUGACGGCCAUCACUUUUUUUGUCAGAGGACACUGAGGCGUCUGCUCUCCCUUGAUAAACAGUGAUCUUGGCUUGUUCUGAGUAAUUAAGACAAAAUGGUCACAUGAAUCAUUCUUUCGUGCUGACAGGCCCCGAGUGACCCUCUGUGUCUCCCUUACCACUGUUGAGUGCAGAGAGUGUGACAGCAUUUUCUACUCCUGUCUGCAUGUGGGUUGGUUUCCUUUCUGAGGUUGGUCUUUGCCCAGAUUUUUUGUUUUUUAUAGGUAAAGGCGAAGGCUUAUUUGCCUUUAGGUAACUUCAUCUGCUGUCCAAAAUAGCUUUGGUGACAUUCUUCCUAGUCUUGUGGCCUGGGGUCAGGGUUUGAGAGAGGCCAUGAUGACUCAGUCACAGGAGCUUCUGUGUGUCACGUACCCCACUUUACCAAGCAGUCUUUCUGCGCUGUCCAUGGAAAAAAAUGCCAGAAAAAUCAGAGGCCAGAGGCAGAGAGCAGCUCCAGGCCAGCCCCACCCUUUCCCAGCACAAUGAAUGCAGCCAUCCUGCUGGUGCAGCUUCACCGCAAAGGAGCGGAUUUACUGUCACUCAUACAGAGAGCUGGCCUAGCCUUCUCCCUGGUUUCUUAUUGCACACAUAUGUACGUGUGUGUAUAUUUACUGCACACCUAUGUAAGUGUAUGUAUAUUUAUUGCACACACAUGUAAGUGUGUGUAUAUUUUGCCUAAGAGUUUUUGCUAAAGCCGCUUGAUGUUCACUUUUCCCACUUUGGUUACUGGCAACAAGAAAUAUCCCCUCGCCUUCCCCAGAUGCCACCCUCCCCAGAAUUUACUGGCAGCGUGAGAAUUGACACAGUAUUUAAUUGUGACCACAUCUUCCCUGACCUGUUUCUGUAUCUUCUCAGUUUUAAUAUGAGCUCAGUCAACAGCUGCCCUCAUAUACACAAAAGGUCUUGAAGGUUCUCGCCACGUCCCUUCCAGUGUGGAAAGACAGCAUCAGUCUUUGAGAGAGCCUGAACAGGGUUCUUCCACUGGGAUGAAGUGUGCAUUGUGGUGAUUAAAAUGGGUGGGUCCACUAGGAAAAAGAAAACAGACAAACAAACAAACAGAAGCCCUCGGUGGGAAGUGUCCUGGAGCCUCUUUCAAAGAAUGAGGAAUUGCAGACAGCUACACAAGAACCACUUGCCUUUUUAGUGACAACUGGUUAGCAAAGCCCACCUCGGUUCUCCAUGCAUUCAGUCCUCUAGCACCCUCCAUGAUUUUCUUCCCUUUCUUUCUGUCUGGGGUAACUGGGAAUUGUGCUCAAAAUUGUUUCAUUUGUGAUCAGGCUUAAAAAUUCCCCAGCUGAGGUCAUUUCCCCUCUGGUCAUGAAGCAAAUGUAUUCUUCUUAAGACUUCGUAGGCCAUUAAAGGGCCGCACGCACUAUCUUUUCAAUAUAAUUGGCAGCUUUGAAAUCUUGAAAAGCCAACCUGUUCUCUUCAUAAAAAAUGCUAACCACCUGUGCUCAUGGAGUAAGAUCAUGCUGCAGUUGAUCUCCUAACACACACACACACACACACACACACACACACACACACACACACACACACACUCAGAAGAGAACCAUUAUAGAGUAGAGAAGAAAUACAAAAUCCACCAGAGGACUUGUGCCUGUGGAAACAGGCAAGGCCUAUCUGUGUUCAGAUGAAUCAUUUAUUACUGUGUAAAUAAAGGUAUAGUCUUCAUGUCGGAAGGAUGGUGUUGGGUUUGGGCUGAGCAAAGUAGGACAGCAGAGGAGACUGGCUGGAAGCUGUGCUACCUUUCCUGUCAGCUAAAGGGACCAACUCAGCAAGAACCUUUUAUCCUGAUAACUGAAUUCUGGAAAUCCUAAAUGUAUCAAAAAAAAAAAUUAAAAAGCAAGGAGACAACCUCGUCUGCAGUGUUGAUGCUGGUGAAGGAGAUCAAGGCCUCUGGUGGCCUUCUUGGCAAUACUGCUUCUUAGUUAAGAGUAUACCUGA
rnacentral:lncRNA from 1 species